AUGAUGGAAACAGCCACCAUGUUGUGAGGACACUCAAUUAGCCUUGUGGAGAGACCCACAUGGGUGAGAAACUAAGGGCUGCCACCAACAGCCCACAUCCACUUGCCAGCUCUGAGAGCAAAUAGAUCCUGCAGGCCUAGUCAAGCCUCAUUUGACUGACGCCUCAGUCAACAUCUUGACUGCAAGCCCAUGCAAAACACUGAGCCAGAAACCACCCACCCAAGAAGCUGUGAAUUCCUGACUGGCAAAAAAUGUGAGUGAUUAUAAAUAUUUAUUAUACUUUUAAGCCACUACUUUUUGGAGUAUUGUGUUAGGCAGCAGUAAAUAACUAAUACAAUAAUCAUUGCUUCCUGUUUGUAAUGACAAAAAAGAGAAAGAAAAUAAAAAAUUUAAAAAAAGAAACACCAGAAAUGUAAAUAAUGGGAGGUUAAAUAAUCCAUGAGAAAUCCACAGUUUGGAAUUUGCAGCUAUUAGAAAGAGAGCUAUGGCGUAAAAGACCUGUAUGUUCUGUCAUUGACAGCUCCUUAAGACAUAUUAGUACAUGAAAAUGACAAUCUGAAGAACACUUACUGUAUGGUCUCCAUGACAUAAAACUGCAAAAAAGUUAUGUGUGCAUGUACAUAUGUGCAUAUAUGCAAUAAUGUUAUAUUUGUGUAUAUCCGAAUGUGUACUUUCACAUACUUGUAAAUGCGUGGAAUAGGAGUGAAUGUCGCAUACCAAAUGGCAGGCAGUGGUUUUACCAGGGUGGAGGAAAGUGGAAUGGGGGUGGCGAGUUGCAAUAUGGUGUUCACAUUUUACUUUGUAAUCUCCUGCAUUGUUUCAACUUCUUACAAUGAAAAUGCAUUUGCAUAUUCCCUGUGUGAUAAAACAAAGAAAAUCAUAAAAAGAGAGAGAGGCAGGCAGAUAGCAGAGAUGGAAGGAAGAGGAGAUAAAUAGAAACAGCAUUUUACCCACUGAGUCGUGACUACAAGCAUCUUAUUUUACCUGUUUGUUUUUCCUUAACAUCCCAACAUAGAAAACACACACUUUGUUUUAAAGUAACAGCGAGGAACCGCCUCGCUGUGGUCUUUCGCUUGCUUGGCAUUGCCCCUAGGGUGCUCGGAGAUGGGCUGUGGAGGGGGACGUUGGGAACUGCCCGACCCCAUUCUCGCCUUUUCCCGCUGGAUGUGCAGCUUUCGGAACGUGCAGGGGCGGGAGUGUCUACAACCUAAGAAAAGGGCCGCGGUGGGGAGCCCGGAGCAGGGCUGGGUGCAGGGAGCGCUCUCGCUGCCCGGGGCGCUCUGCGCUGCGCGCCCAGUGGGGACAGCACGCCGCCCCGGGAGUCUCCAGGCGCGGGAGGUCCCAGCAGAUUUUGCAUAAAGGGAGGAAUCGAGUCCAGAGAACAAACAAGAUACUGGAGGUGGUGGCACGGAGAGGAUUGAUUCGGUUUGCAACCCUACGAGGUCGUGGCCGCUCGGGGCAGGAAAGCAGGCUCCUGUCUCUCCAGGAUCCAGCCUCCCGAUCACCGCGCUAGUCCUCGCCCUGCCUGGGCUUCCCCAGAGACGGGAGCUUGGGUGGGGGACCCUGGACCCGAAGCCAAGGCUGAACUGGUGUGCCAAGCCCAGGGAGCAACCAAGUCCCCAACUCUUUCCCUGCCCUUCCCGCAGGCUGAGCAGAAAACCAGGAAAUGGAUGGACUCCACCUCCGCAGCCACGCCUGCCCGUUUGCGCUUACUGAACAGAGGUCCUCAGGAACGUGAAAAUGAAGGGAGGGUUACUAACUUUAUGCCAUCUUCAAACCAGAAGAUCUUAGAUUAGUAAGAUCAUGUUGGCCAUGGCAUGGAGAAUGGGCUGGAGGUGGAGAGACUGGAGGUUGGAAGUCCAGUUAGGAGAUUGCUCCUGCGCUGGGGAGUUGGUGUUAGGACAGAAGAUCCAAGACGCGUUUCAGAGAGCCCCUCUUCUUGGGCCUGCGAUUCCUCACCUGGAAGGGAGAAGAGUGGACUUCCUGCCUAGAGAACACCUUGGUAAACUCUUUGUGGUUCCUGUCAUGAGAAGGUGUGCAGCUUAGGGAAAAAGCCUGUGAGCUCUGGAAUCAGAUGGAACUGGAUAUGAAUUUCCAUUUAAACUGCCUUGGGGUUCAUGUUGCAGCAUCAAACAGGGAUGGAAGAUGCAUCUUGCUUUAGCAGCAGGAGCCUGGAAAGCAGCUGAAGCCCUGGAGGGUGCCUGGCACACAGAAUCUUGUGCUGAGCCCGGAGCACAAUGGGAGCGGGCUGGCGGGGUGGGUUCACAGCUGGACUGGGAGCAGCAGACAUACAGGCCGUAGGCACAGACAUAUAAAGACAGUCAUGCAGAUUGCAGGAUGCCUGAGAGCACAGACUCUCACAUGCACAAAUACGUGCAUGAUCGCCAGUGUGCAUCCAGACAGCCCCACAUGCAUGCACACGCAUGCACACAUGUGAUGUGUACAUAGAUGGACACAUGUCUAUGCCCACAAACACUGCAGAGACACAGAAGUGUCUGGCAAGGAACACUAUUUUGUCCUCAAUUUUCUGCCAGUGAGAGUCUACUGACUCCAUCUCUGAAAUGUCUCUACUUAUUGUCCCUCUUCUCCACCUGCACCACAUCCCUAGUCCCUGAAACUCCCACCGAGACCCCUGGGCAAUAGCAAAGUCUGCACAGGAUUCCUGCUCCGCCUCUACCCCACCCUUAAGCCCAUCCUACAUGCAAGAGCAGGAGUUAUCUGGGUAUCAAGCAAAUCUGACCACAUCACCUCCCCACUGCUUAAAACCCUUUCCUACAGGAUGAAGUUGAAAUCACUUGACAUCCCAUAUAAGGCCCUUGACUGUCUGGCAUCAGCCAUAGUCUGGCCUCAGGCCCUGGCAUGGAGUCCCCUGGACUCAGUGCUCUGGCUGAGGGCCUCCAGGAUGAAGAUACCCUGUGCAAAGCCUCACACUUUUGCUGUUGCUGGGCUCACUGUGUGAAAUUCCCUCCUCCCUCCUUCCACCUUCCCUAUGCUGAACUGCCACUCCUCCAUCCUCCAUGGCCAGCUAAGCCAACACCUCCCCACUUCCUCCUGACAACCCAGGCACAGCCACUGACCUGUCCCAUGGCUGUCACAGCCCUUUCUUGGGCUCUCAAUGGUAUCAUUGUCACCUGUGUGCUCAUGAGCCUCUGCCACUCAACUCCAAGCACAUCAAAUAAAGAGCUCAAAACAUAUCGGAUACUCAA
rnacentral:lncRNA from 1 species